UCGAUGAAGAACGCAGCGAAAUGCGAUAAGUAAUGUGAAUUGCAGAUUUUCAGUGAAUCAUCGAAUCUUUGAACGCACCUUGCGCUCCUUGGUAUUCCGAGGAGCAUGCCUGUUUGAGUGUCAUUAAAUUCUCAAACUCUGAUUGAUUGUUUCAAUCGGAGGUUUGGAUUUGGAGUGUGCCGGCGUCAAGUCGGCUCCUCUUGAAUGCAUCAGCGGAAUCCCAUUCAUUUCGGACGUCAGUGUGAUAAUCAUGUUGCGCUGUCUUUGCGAUCUUGAAAGCCCGCUCACAAUGGUCUUCGGACAAACCUCACAUAUCAUAUUUGACCUCAAAUCAGGUAGGACUACCCGCUGAACUUAA
rnacentral:rRNA from 1 species